AUGUUGUUGAUGAUAGCCAAGCCGAGAAAGAAGGAUCCCGAUCUCUGCCGUGGUCGACAAACAGCGCGAUGGGCGGAGCACCCAGCCCGUAGGCUCAUCCCCUUCUCCGAUCCACUCCGGCGGCGGCCAUCGUUGUCAAGGCAUCGGUUCAUGUGGUUUCCUGCUACUGGCAUAUCAAAGAGAUGCAGACGAGAGGAAGAGAGCCUCCCCCAAGCUAUGUCUAGGCGAUGCACAGGCGACGGCCACCCUUCCUGUUAUUGCCUCCAUGGCUGGCUGCUCAUCCCCAGGAACCUCCUCCCCUCUCACGUGCGUGAUUAA
rnacentral:rRNA from 1 species